rnacentral:lncRNA from 1 species
UUUCUAACGCGUGGAGGGCGAGCCGGCGCCGCACGCUCCCUGAAGACUGCACAAACUCCAGGCAGGGCUCCUCCGCCCGGUCUGCGGAUCCUCAGCUGGGGAUCGCUCAGGAUCCCGGCGCUGCAGCUCCGCACCCCAGAGGCACGCUCACUCGUCCAGAUCCACGCGGCGAACAGAGACCCACUGACUCCAGAGUGCGGUUCUGCACUGCGCUGGCGGCUUCUGGGUAACAAAAGGACCCGAGUUGUCGGCCGAGCGAGCACCCCCGGGAGCGGGGCUCGCAGCCGGGGACCAGCCCUGCGGCGCCCAUCUGGGGGCUAGUUCUUAACUCUCCUCUACGGAGCCCCAGACGGGUCCCCUCCCUUCUUGAUCCUUUUAAGUCUGUGGCACAGAGGCGCCUGCACCCGCGGCUCAUCCAUCUCUCCAGUGGGGUUUUUCUUUUUGGUUUGUUUGUUUUGUCGUGUGCGAUCCCCACACUCAUGAACAUACACAGGUCUACCCCUAUCACAAUAGCGAGAUAUGGGAGAUCGCGGAACAAAACCCAGGAUUUCGAAGAGCUGUCGUCUAUAAGGUCCGCUGAGCCCAGCCAGAGUUUCAGCCCGAACCUUGGCUCUCCGA